rnacentral:rRNA from 1 species
AUUAAAGUUGUUGCGGUUAAAAAGCUCGUAGUUGGAUUUCUGUUCCAGACUGAUGGUCCACCGGUCGGUGCCGACUGUCAGGCCUGAACAUCCCGUCGGUUUUUUACUUUCCCGCGGUGCUCUUCAGUGAGUGUCGCGGGAGGCCGACAAGUUUACUUUGAAAAAAUUAGAGUGCUCAAAGCAGGCGGUCAGCCUGAAUAAUGGUGCAUGGAAUGAUGGAAAAGGACCUCGGUUCUAUUUUGUUGGUUUUCGCAACUCGAGGUAAUGAUUAAGAGGGACAGACGGAGGCAUUCGUAUUGCGACGCUAGAGGUGAAAUUCUUGGACCGUCGCAAGACGAACUACUGCGAAAGCAUUUGCCGAGAAUGUUUUCAUUAAUCAAGAACGAAAGUUAGAGGUUCGAAGGCGAUCAGAUACCGCCCUAGUUCUAACCAUAAACGAUGCCAACCAGCGAUCCGCCGGAGUUCCUUCUAUGACUCGGCGGGCAGCUUCCGGGAAACCAAAGUCUUUGGGUUCCGGGGGAAGUAUGGUUGCAAAGCUGAAACUUAAAGGAAUUGACGGAAGGGCACCACCAGGAGUGGAGCCUGCGGCUUAAUUUGACUCAACACGGGAAAACUCACCCGGCCCGGACACUGGAAGGAUUGACAGAUUGAGAGCUCUUUCUUGAUUCAAUGGGUGGUGGUGCAUGGCCGUUCUUAGUUGGUGGAGCGAUUUGUCUGGUUAAUUCCGAUAACGAACGAGACUUUGGCCUGCUAAAUAGGAGGCUGAUCUUAGCGUGAGCCUACGACUUCUUAGAGGGACAAGGGGCGUUUAUCCCACGGAAGUUUGACAACAACAGGGGUGCUGUGACCUUAUUAGAUGUGGGGGGCGCCCCCGCGCUACGAUGAAGGAAGAACCAGUGGGGUUUGCCCCUGUCCGUGAAGGACUGGGUAACCCGCUGAACCUCCUUCGUGAUGGGGAUAGGGGCUUGUAAUUGUAUCCCCUUGAACGAGGAAUUCCCAGUAAGCGCGAGUCAUAASACUCUCGUUGAUAACAGUCCCUGCGCUUUGURCACACACGCGCCGUCGCUACUACACGAUUGAGUGAUUUAUAGAGGUCUUCGGACCUGCGCCCGUUGAACGCUUCGGUCCGCAUACGGUUUGCGGGGAAGAUGACCAAACUUGAUCAUUUAGAGGAAGUAAAAAGUCGUAACAAGGUUUCC